rnacentral:rRNA from 1 species
UGCAGUCGAGCGCGACGGGGACUUCGGUUCCCUAGUAGAGCGGCGAACGGGUGAGUAACACGUGGGUAAUCUGCCUCCGGGUGGGGAAUAACUCAGGGAAACUUGAGCUAAUUCCGCAUGACGUGGCCGAUCACAAGAUCGGCUACCAAAGCUGGGGACCCUUCGGGGCCUGGCGCCUGGAGAGGAGCCCGCGGCCAAUUAGCUUGUUGGUGAGGUAAUGGCUCACCAAGGCUCCGAUUGGUAGCCGGCCUGAGAGGGCGGACGGUCACACUGGAACUGAGACACGGUCCAGACUCCUACGGGAGGCAGCAGUGAGGAAUUUUCGUCAAUGGGGGAAACCCUGAACGAGCAACGCCGCGUGGAGGACGAAGACCUUCGGGUUGUAAACUCCUGUCGGACGGGACGAAAGUUAUCGAGGUUAAUACCCUUGGUAGUUGACGGUACCGUACGAGGAAGCCCCGGCUAACUUCGUGCCAGCAGCCGCGGUAAUACGAGGGGGGCAAGCGUUGUUCGGAAUUACUGGGCGUAAAGGGCGCGUAGGCGGUCUGACAAGUCUUCCGUGAAAGCCCACGGCUCAACCGUGGAACUGCGGGGGAAACUGCCAGACUUGAGUCCGGGAGGGGAGAGUGGAAUUCCCAGUGUAGCGGUGAAAUGCGCAGAUAUUGGGAGGAACACCGGAGCGAAGCGUCUCUCUGGACCGGUACUGACGCUGAGCGCGAAAGCCAGGGAGCGAACGGGAUUAGAUACCCCGGUAGUCCUGGGCCGUAAACGAUGAGCACUGGAUGUGGCGGGUAUUGACCCCUGCCGUGUCGGCGCUAACGCAUU